GACGAACGCUGGCGGCGUGCUUAACACAUGCAAGUCGAACGGUGAAGCGCUUGCCUUUUUGGUGGGUGUGGAUGAGUGGCGAACGGGUGAGUAACACGUGAGUAACCUGCCCUCUUCUUCUGGAUAACCUCAUGAAAGUGGGGCUAAUACGGGGUAUUCCGGGUCUGUCGCAUGGCGGGUUUGGGAAAGAUUGCGCCUUUGGGUGUUUUCGGUGGGGGAUGGGCUCGCGGCCUAUCAGCUUGUUGGUGGGGUGAUGGCCUACCAAGGCGGUGACGGGUAGCCGGACUGAGAGGGUGGACGGCCACACUGGGACUGAGACACGGCCCAGACUCCUGCGGGAGGCAGCAGUGGGGAAUAUUGCACAAUGGGCGCAAGCCUGAUGCAGCGACGCCGCGUGAGGGAUGGAGGCCUUCGGGUUGUGAACCUCUUUCGCCAGUGAAGCAGGCCUGCUCCUGUGUGGGUGGGUUGACGGUAGCUGGAUAAGAAGCGCCGGCUAACUACGUG
rnacentral:rRNA from 1 species